GUUUUUAGCUCAGCUGGAUAGAGCAACGCCCUUCUAAGGCGUGGGCCAGGGGUUCGAAUCCCUUAAAAC
rnacentral:tRNA from 2 species